rnacentral:rRNA from 1 species
UGCCAGACUCCUACGGGAGGCAGCAGUGGGGAAUAUUGCACAAUGGGGGAAACCCUGAUGCAGCGACGCCGCGUGAGUGAAGAAGUAUUUCGGUAUGUAAAGCUCUAUCAGCAGGGAAGAAGUUGACGGUACCUGAGUAAGAAGCCCCGGCUAACUACGUGCCAGCAGCCGCGGUAAUACGUAGGGGGCAAGCGUUAUCCGGAUUUACUGGGUGUAAAGGGAGCGUAGACGGCAGUGCAAGUCUGAAGUGAAAGCCCCGGGCUUAACCCGGGAACUGCUUUGGAAACUGUACGGCUGGAGUGCUGGAGAGGUAAGCGGAAUUCCUAGUGUAGCGGUGAAAUGCGUAGAUAUUAGGAGGAACACCAGUGGCGAAGGCGGCUUACUGGACAGUAACUGACGUUGAGGCUCGAAAGCGUGGGGAGCAAACAGGAUUAGAUACCCUCGUAAC